AAUGGGUCAGCGACUUAUAUUCUGUAGCAAGGUUAACCGAAUAGGGGAGCCGAAGGGAAACCGAGUCUUAACUGGGCGUUAAGUUGCAGGGUAUAGACCCGAAACCCGGUGAUCUAGCCAUGGGCAGGUUGAAGGUUGGGUAACACUAACUGGAGGACCGAACCGACUAAUGUUGAAAAAUUAGCGGAUGACUUGUGGCUGGGGGUGAAAGGCCAAUCAAACCGGGAGAUAGCUGGUUCUCCCCGAAAGCUAUUUAGGUAGCGCCUCGUGAAUUCAUCUCCGGGGGUAGAGCACUGUUUCGGCAAGGGGGUCAUCCCGACUUACCAACCCGAUGCAAACUGCGAAUACCGGAGAAUGUUAUCACGGGAGACACACGGCGGGUGCUAACGUCCGUCGUGAAGAGGGAAACAACCCAGACCGCCAGCUAAGGUCCCAAAGUCAUGGUUAAGUGGGAAACGAUGUGGGAAGGCCCAGACAGCCAGGAUGUUGGCUUAGAAGCAGCCAUCAUUUAAAGAAAGCGUAAUAGCUCACUGGUCGAGUCGGCCUGCGCGGAAGAUGUAACGGGGCUAAACCAUGCACCGAAGCUGCGGCAGCGACACUGUGUGUUGUUGGGUAGGGGAGCGUUCUGUAAGCCUGUGAAGGUGUGCUGUGAGGCAUGCUGGAGGUAUCAGAAGUGCGAAUGCUGACAUAAGUAACGAUAAAGCGGGUGAAAAGCCCGCUCGCCGGAAGACCAAGGGUUCCUGUCCAACGUUAAUCGGGGCAGGGUGAGUCGACCCCUAAGGCGAGGCCGAAAGGCGUAGUCGAUGGGAAACAGGUUAAUAUUCCUGUACUUGGUGUUACUGCGAAGGGGGGACGGAGAAGGCUAUGUUGGCCGGGCGACGGUUGUCCCGGUUUAAGCGUGUAGGCUGGUUUUCCAGGCAAAUCCGGAAAAUCAAGGCUGAGGCGUGAUGACGAGGCACUACGGUGCUGAAGCAACAAAUGCCCUGCUUCCAGGAAAAGCCUCUAAGCAUCAGGUAACAUCAAAUCGUACCCCAAACCGACACAGGUGGUCAGGUAGAGAAUACCAAGGCGCUUGAGAGAACUCGGGUGAAGGAACUAGGCAAAAUGGUGCCGUAACUUCGGGAGAAGG
rnacentral:rRNA from 1 species